CUAUAUUCUGGUGUUGUAUAAGGAGUAAACGUGGCGAGCCCCAGCACUAUUUUAUGCCAUUAGUAGACAAGACAGACAUCAAGAGACAGAAUGACUUCCUCCACUGUAACGUCGGACGAGAAAGGUCUGAAUAAAAAGUAAGGUCCUUUUCUUUAAAAUGAUAAGGGGUCAUUCCUCUAGUCACAUUCAUAAUGGUAGCUUUGUCUUGACCAUUUUGAAAUUUGAUUAGCAGAUCACUGGUGGCCAUAGCCUUGACCUACUGUAGCUUAGGGAGAUGGAACAUG